GAACCAACCCGUUUGCCGCCAAUAAAAGCCCAGCUCUAUAUCUAUAAAUAUGCCGAAACUGUAACCCUUUCAACUAAAUCAUCGCUCUCUGUUUUUCAACUGUGCGAAAAAUGCAGGCUAGUGAUAGGUUCAAUAUCAACUCUCAGCUUGAGCACUUGCAAGCUAAAUACGUUGGAACAGGACAUGCCGACUUGACUCGAUUUGAGUGGGCAGUGAACAUUCAGCGUGACAGUUACGCAUCUUAUGUCGGACACUACCCAAUGUUGGCAUAUUUUGCCAUUGCAGAAAAUGAAUCAAUCGGAAGAGAGCGCUACAAUUUUAUGCAGAAAAUGCUUUUGCCUUGUGGUCUUCCACCUGAUAGGGAGGACGACUAAGAGUUGCAACAGGUAGCACCCUUUCAGACCUAAACCUUGCUGCUUUAAUCUCCCGUUCAUAACAUAGUUGUUAUGAGGAUUUGGACCCUAAAGUUGGAAGUUAAGUUAUAUUUAGGUCAAGAAUUAAUUUUGGUCAACAUUUGGAGUUCAGACGCUCGAAUGGAGUUAUCAACUAUUUCAUUGGAUUUAGAGGAUGAUUUUACCCUUGGGUGAGGUCUUGGUUUCAAUUUCAGAGGUUCAGAGGGUAUUUUGGUAUUUCCAAAUAAAAAUUAGUUUAUUGUAAUUUUCUAAGGUUUCGGGUCAAGGAACUUUAAGUUUAAAACGUCGAGUUUAGUUUUGUAGCUAUCUGAUUUGUGUAUUUAGAGUUUUGAACAUACAAAUUGUCAUGCCCGAGCCUACACCCUGUACACAGAUACUUGUGAAUCAUUGAUGGCCCAAUCUAACCCUUUGCCUGAUUUAACUUUUAGCGGAAGACUUACCCAUAAUAAUUGCCACUAUAACCCUGUUUUGUAGUAGUGCUUGUUAGUUUUUGGUAGGAAUUCAGUUGUAAUGUUUGAAUUGAAUUAGUUUUAUGAAACACUUUUAAGGUGUGCUUGAUACGACAGGAGAUGAUACUUGAAUAUCUUAUUUAUGAAUUGAGCUACUUAACGACUUUUGAUGGUGGUAAGUUACAAAUAUAGAUACUCGAAAUAUAAUACAUAUUAACAUUCAACUAGAAAACCCAAUACAAAAUUGGCAAUGGUAAUUCAUCAUCUUGCUUUGUCAUGCAGAGGCGGACCCACGUGGUGUUCGCUGGGUGCUCGAGCACCCAUUAACUUCGUUACGAAAUAUAUUUAUCUAUGUAGAAAUUGAUAGGUAUUUGUAUAAAAUUAACAUAGAGUACCCAAUGAAUGAAUGAUUUAGUUGGCCCAAUGGCUCGUGGAUGGGUACUUAAGACUUUUUUAGUGUUGUUGUACCAAGGUUCGAAUCUCACUGUUAACACAUAUUUUUUAUAUUUUCA